AUUGUCACACUGUUCCUGCUUCCUGACAGGUUCACUUGAACCAUCUGGAGAUUGGGGAACAAGGGCAAUGAGUUGAACAUGUAGGAAGUUUCAUGGCCCAGCCCCUCCUGAGAGCCCUGAACUGCCAACCAGACUGAGCCCAUCAGAGAAUAACACCUCAUUUUCUGAGGAUUCUGAUACCUUUUCAAUCAGAAACAGAAGCAAAGAUUCUGCAGCUCCCACAGAAACUCCCAGAAACCUUGCGGUGCUUCACCCUUCUGAGAUCCUUGAGUCCGAAUGUGGGAGCUAACCAGGCACAUCUUCACAAUGAAAUCUUCACAAGCUCAGAACCAUCAACUUGCUACACUGUGUUCCUCCAGUGCCCAGUUCACAGGAAGCACUCAAGAGUAGGAUCAAUUGUUAUCAACCUCUAGCAGAUUAUUGAAUAGACGGUCGUUACAUGAAACUGACACUCAGUUCUUCAUGGUCCACGAUAGUUCUUAUAUCCAGAAAACGUACUUACGUUAUCAACUCUGACUCCAUAAGACAACUUUGCAAAGUCUUGGCUCAUAACUAUAAAUCAAGGCUGAAUCAAACAGGACUACUGUUCUGAAAGAAUACUCAGACUAUGAGUCUUCCUCCAGACAGGCACGCCAUACAACCGACUACACUUGGGCUCACUGAAUGAAUCACAUUCUUCUGCUGUGCCUCCCAGAGAUUUCAUCAAAGCACCCGCAGUGGCCUUCUGGAGGCUCCUCAAACUCUCCACUCAAUGUUUCCUGAAAGUGUCGUGUUUCUCACCUCUAGAUUGUUAUUCUCAUCAGUUACAUUAGUGAAAUGGUGAAAAAUCAGACAAUGGUCACAGAGUUCCUCCUACUGGGAUUUCUCCUGGGCCCAAGGAUUCAGAUGCUCCUCUUUGGGCUCUUCUCCCUGUUCUAUGUCUUCACCCUGCUGGGGAAUGGGACCAUCCUGGGGCUCAUCUCACUGGACUCCAGACUCCACACCCCCAUGUACUUCUUCCUCUCACACCUGGCCGUCGUCAACAUCGCCUAUGCCUGCAACACAGUGCCCCAGAUGCUGGUGAACCUCCUGCAUCCAGCCAAGCCCAUCUCCUUUGCUGGCUGCAUGACAUAGACCUUUCUCUUUUUGAGUUUUGCACAUACUGAAUGCCUCCUGUUGGUGCUGAUGUCCUACGAUCGGUACGUGGCCAUCUGCCACCCUCUCCGAUAUUUCAUCAUCAUGACCUGGAAAGUCUGCAUCACUCUGGCCAUCACUUCCUGGACAUGUGGCUCCCUCCUGGCUAUGGUCCAUGUGAGCCUCAUCCUAAGACUGCCCUUUUGUGGGCCUCGUGAAAUCAACCACUUCUUCUGUGAAAUCCUGUCUGUCCUCAGGCUGGCCUGUGCUGAUACCUGGCUCAACCAGGUGGUCAUCUUUGCAGCCUGCAUGUUCAUCCUGGUGGGACCACUCUGCCUGGUGCUGGUCUCCUACUCACACAUCCUGGCGGCCAUCCUGAGGAUCCAGUCUGGGGAGGGCCGCAGAAAGGCCUUCUCCACCUGCUCCUCCCACCUCUGCGUAGUGGGACUCUUC
rnacentral:lncRNA from 1 species